rnacentral:sRNA from 1 species
UCACAUCGGUGGCCCAGAAAUCAGUCUCAGCCCCUCCCAGUAUGGACCGCUCCUUGACAGCCGCCCUCUCUCCUAUAAAGGCAGAUGCAAGCUACGUUUGUGUGGGGAUGACACAGCACAAAGGCCCUUGCCAGAUGUGAGCCCCUUGAUAUUGGAUUUCCCAGUCUUCAGAACUGUUGGUUAAAUUCCUGAGAGAUGGAUCUUUUGGUCUCCUGCUUUCACAGUAUAUGCCUGGCUGUUUGCAUCCUGAGAACCAAGCAGAGCAAGGCUGGAGAAACAGCAUUCAUGAUGUGAACUGCUAAUGAAUUUUUCUGCCUGUAUUAGGAAAUCCUCAGCCUCAAAUGUACUUAGUCUUCUAGUAAAGAGAUUGUCAAAUUUCCUUCUCCAGAGAAGCCACUUUAGUAUUCUUGCAGAAUAGGGAAGGGGAUGGGACCCAACUUCUUAAGUAAACUUUCAACCAAU